GAUUUACACUAGGGGUGUUUUUAACUGAGAUGGAAUCUAUCCAAACCCUUUGAACCUGAAUCUAGUUUAAACUAGCGUAGGAAAGUGUGAUGACGCUCUU
rnacentral:ncRNA from 1 species